GUUGCAAUACCGGUUUCCAUACGAUCACAAGUUAAGCAACAUCGAACCUGCUCAGUACUUAGAUGGGUGACCACUUGGGAAUAUCAGUUGUUGUAAG